ACUCCUACGGGAGGCAGCAGUGGGGAAUAUUGCACAAUGGGGGAAACCCUGAUGCAGCCAUGCCGCGUGUGUGAAGAAGGCCUUCGGGUUGUAAAGCACUUUCAGUAGGGAGGAAGGUAGUGUAGUUAACACCUGCACUUAUUUGACGUUACCUACAGAAGAAGCACCGGCUAAACUCCGUGCCAGCAGCCGCGGUAAUACGGAGGGUGCGAGCGUUAAUCGGAAUUACUGGGCGUAAAGCGCAUGCAGGCGGCCUGUUAAGUCAGAUGUGAAAGCCCGGGGCUUAACCUCGGAAUUGCAUUUGAAACUGGCAGGCUAGAGUCUUGUAGAGGGGGUAGAAUUUCAGGUGUAGCGGUG
rnacentral:rRNA from 1 species